GGAGCAUUAAGCCCUUGACUGUGAUGUAAAUUAAAAAUAUGUUAUCUCAAAAACUAAAAGAUAAAGGAAAUAUAUUUUUAGAAUUGUUAAAAGAAAUACAUGGAAGAUUAAAAAAAGAAAUUGAUCUUUUUUUUAUGCUACUGAGAUUUUGGAAUUUUCUAUUUCUAUAUCUUCACCUGGGCUGCUCUGACUAAUAAACCAAAAAUAUGGGAUUUUUCUGUGAUGUCAACUUUUGGUUGCUGAUGGUCACUUAGAGCACUGAACUAGGAAUACUUUGAUUUUUAUGUCUCUACCAGCAUAAUAUAGGACAAUGAAACCUAUUGCUGACCUCAGUUUAUUCUAUGCUGAUGAGCACAUUUUGUAACAGCUAUUUCCCCUUUCUUCCUCAUGACCUAUACGUGUGGCUCCAGCUGCUUGCUAUGCACCGGCAUAACUGUGUUAGAAUUCCAAGGAAGGGGCCUUCAUCACCGUAUUAUGAGCUAUCUCGUCUUCCUCAUCCACUCCUCACUGCUGUAGUACCAGGGUAUGUCCUUAGUAUUUCUUCCCUGCACCACUAAGGGAAUCUACUAACUGGAAUCCUUCUUUUGUUACCUGUCACUUGUGUAACUACUGUUCACUGAGUGCUCACACUGUACAAAACAUCAAACCAAGGGAUGCAUAUGUUGUCUCUCUUAAUCCUCAUAGCAACCACUUUUUAUUUAGGCCCCAUAUAACUUGGAUCCUUUCCCAGUCCUGCUUCAGUCAUUUUUUUCUUAGAGUAGAUCCUGUGACUAUAAAUAUCUACGGAAAGUAGGAAUAGGAAAAAUAUGGCCCAGAGCAAGUUCCCUCAUUUUAUUUUAUGAGAGACAGAGGUAACAGACUGCUCUGGGUUUCUUGGGAUGAUGCUUGAACCCAAGGUGUAGAUUUUUGAAAAUAGCUUUUUUGAAUGUGAUUUUAUAAUUCUGUGCCCAAACCAUAGCCAACAGUGAGUUCCAGUUUACAUAUGUUUGAGACUCAUAGGCAUGUUCUAGCCAUGAUACUUUCCAUUUUCCCCACUACCCAGCUCUCCAGAUCCUUUUGCAGAAAGUUGGCUUCCCUUCUGUAGUCCAAGCCAGCUGUGUUCUCUGACUCAAGGCCUGAAUCACUUUAAUCUGAUGCUGUGGAAAAGACAGAUACCUGGGGCUGGAGAGAUUGACAAGUCCUGUUCUACGGUGGUGGGAUCCUCUUUUAACUAGCUUUGAAACUUUUCCAGUAUACAAAUGAGCCCCCAACAAAUAAAAGGUGAAGGUAUCAGUUUAAUUUGUACUAC
rnacentral:lncRNA from 1 species